GGCAUCGGCAUCGGGAGGCGGCGGCACCACCGGUACCACUGGCAGCGAGGCAGGUUUUCACUUUGUGACUGUCUUCUAAGGCAAACAUUCACCGAUGGAAGAAAAACUUUUUCCAGCAUUUUGGGCUUCUGAUGAACAGAGCAAGAGUCUUCCCCAAGGAGCAUCUUCA